UACGGGGGGAGCAAGCGUUGUUCGGAUUUACUGGGCGUAAAGGGCGCGUAGGCGGUCGUGACAAGUCACUUGUGAAAUCUCCGGGCUUAACUCGGAACGGUCAAGUGAUACUGUCGGACUAGAGUACAGAAGGGGCAACUGGAAUUCUCGGUGUAGCGGUGAAAUUCGUAGAUAUUCGGAAGAACACCAGUGGCGAAGGCGGCUCACUGGCCCGGUACUGACGCUGAGGUGCGAAAGCGUGGGGAGCAAACAGG
rnacentral:rRNA from 1 species